rnacentral:ncRNA from 1 species
GGCCGGGUGGCGCGCAGCCAUACAAGACCCUGCAAGGGGAAAGCUGCGGGCGGCCCUACGACCGUGUUGAAGCACCCGGUCGCCUCUC